rnacentral:lncRNA from 1 species
CUACAGCUGAGAUUGCGUUUUUUCAAGGCUGUCUUACUUGGCUUUUGUUUAGAUUAUUUAAUAUUCAUUUUUUGUACAUGUCCACAUUUCUUGCGUUUAUCAACCCUUUACUCCCGAUAUUCCCAAAUUUCUUCUCCACAAUCCCAGCUGCAUUGCAAUUGGUUUUAGAAGGGAGAUAUGUUGUUGCUGUUUGUUUGUCCAUUAUUCAUCUUUUGCUUAUGGAUUAUGGUACUACUGAGAUUCAAGAAGACAUACCUGGUCAUAGUGCUUAUCUCACUGGACUUAGCAUCAUUGGUGGAGUUGCAUUAUUCCCAUCUGCAUUGGAGGUAAUUAAUAUUAAUAAACAACAAUUAGAAAUUUAGAAUAUGCUUCGCGUUAAUUUAAUAUCACUUCUUUACUGUUUGAAUUUUGAUGAUGCAGGGAGCCAUAAUGGGGCCUUUGAUAACAACUGUUGUUAUUGCUCUUAAGGAUUUGUAUGUAGAAUAUGUUUUGGGUGAACCAAAGAAAGGGAAAAAGGACUAAAGGAGUAGGGAUGAUUGACGUUUUUAUGCAGGAGAAUUUUUUUCAAGUGUUUAAUUACCCGGAGCAAUGUGUCAAGUUCCCUAAAAAUUGGUCUUUUGGAUGGAUUAUAGCGUAAAGUUGAUGGGUCGCUGUACCUCUUUUGUUAAAAAUUGCAUUUUAUUGCUUGAUUCAACUGAUUGUCGAUAUGUUUAUAAGAAUCUGCUUUUUGCGUUUCAUAGCUAAACGAUUAUUGCUGAAAUUCUGAGAUUGAAACGAAUUGAAUAUUUGCAUUCAUUCAGCAAUUUUAACCACACUUAUCUCAGAAGAUAGACAUCUUAGAAGUUCCUAUCAGAGUCUCGUGUCUACCUACCACCUAAUUCAUCGAUAACAUCGACUCCACAACGACCAAAUCAUCGUAUCACAAUAUGCAAAAAUGGAAAUAAAAUGCUAAAUUUGAAAUUCAAAUAAAGAAACAAAUCUAACAAUGUAGGUCUGGCACCAUUCGUCACAUAUCCUCACAAAACUUUCUACGAUUAUUUCUUAUGAAUAAAAUAUUUAUAGCAGAGGAUGCAUUCAAAAGAUAUAUGCACGGCAUUAAACCCUAAGAAGAUCUAAGCAUGAAUUAUAUGAAAUUAGAACAUAUAACGAAAACUUAGAGGAAUCUUCAGUCAGGAUUCAGGUACAAUUUUAUAUAAAAACAAAGAGCGAGACGCUAGUUAUUACCUUCUGUCGACGGCGACGCACUUCGACAGGAGAUCGUUGGAAAGGAAGGGAGAUAUAAAAGAAUAACUGCUCAGUUUUUUAACAACAUGCUAAACCCCUCCUCAAAUUAAAUUUAAAGCAAGAAGCAC